GGGACACAGAGUCAUGCACGGCCUUCAGGUGAGGGACUCACUGGCCUUCAGGAGGAGCUGGAACACUCAGAUGGCUCUGGAAUGUUCCUCUCUGUGACACGCCUACCUUUUCUGAAUGAAAAGUUCGGCUUGCUUCCUUGCAUCUGGAACUCCUGGGUCGGUAGUGUCUGCAGAGUCAGGGCAGGCACGAUGUCUGAAGCAAUGCCCUCUUUGUUGGAUUUCCCAGGCUCUGAGCACCACUCAGCUGUUUCUUUCCCAGGAGAGUUUUCUCAUACUGGAGACUUUGGACAUAAAGUGUGAUACAUAUUGUCACCAUCCUAACACUGUUCCUCCCAGACCACCCAUUUUCUAGUUAAGGACUCCUCAUCUUAGAGGAACUUUGUAGGACAGAAGUUUCAGCCAGGAAGAACUACCAGGUCAGCCCCACCUCCCCACCUGAACCUGUGAAAUAACCACCUCCUAUCCCAAGCCUGCCUUUGACAUGAG